rnacentral:rRNA from 1 species
UACGUAGGGGGCAAGCGUUGUCCGGAAUUAUUGGGCGUAAAGCGCGCGCAGGCGGUUCUUUAAGUCUGGUGUCUAAGUGCGGGGCUCAACCCCGUGAUGCACUGGAAACUGGGGAACUUGAGUGCAGAAGAGGAGAGCGGAAUUCCACGUGUAGCGGUGAAAUGCGUAGAGAUGUGGAGGAACACCAGUGGCGAAGGCGGCUCUCUGGUCCAUAACUGACGCUGAGGUGCGAAAGCGUGGGGAGCAAACAGG